CUCUAAUAAAACCCUCUUACCAGCUCUCCAGAAACAUCUUUGAAAACCAGCCAAGCUGCAGUCCUCCCCAACUCCCAUUUCAAGUCAGUUCUCUCCUCUCUGAAGACCUUAUCCUCUCUUCUAUCUUUCUUGCAUACUGUGAAAGGAGACAAUAUGGGGAUAAGAAACUCUUCGGCAAUCUAUAUAGACCCUGCAACUCGUUCUUUUGCUGUGUGUGUGACCCAGGAGAGGGAUGCACACAUUCCAUUCCACUGGUCCAUGUACCAGCUCCUGUCUGCCCACAUCAGAAACCAGUAUGUGCCAUGUUCUCCCUGGCACUUCUGAAUGUGAAUCCUUCAUCUCGUGACAAGGGCUCAUGCCAUGUGCUACAAACCAAGGGGGAACAGCACAGCAUUCCUUAUUUCUGUUAUCCCGGGGACUUGCACGCCACUGCUCUUCCAUCUGUUUUAAGAGAGAAGUCAUUCAGCACAUCAACAUUUGAACUGCUGCUGGGACGAUGGGCAGAGCAGAGAUGGAGGAG
ensembl:lncRNA